rnacentral:tRNA from 1 species
AAGACUUUAAGUUCAAUUAAACUAGUAGCCUUCAAAGCUACCCAUAAAAGUAUGUAGCCUUUUAAGCCUUA